rnacentral:tRNA from 1 species
AGCCCCGUGGUCUAGCGGCCAAUGAUGGCGGGCUCUGGACCCGUUGACGGGAGUUCGAAUCUCCCCGGGGCUACCA